AUGCGCAGUUUUAUGCUGCUCGCUUGAAACCACCACCACCUCCGUUUUUAUCAUUAGUCUUAUUGCCUUCGUUUUCUUAAGCGCCAUCUUAUCAUCACCUCUGAUUUGCAGGUUUCCUGGAUGAACUACAUUUCCCAUAAUGCAUGUUUGCCCGGGACAUUGACGGUGGAGGAAGGUCCAUGAGUUUUCGCUGUUCGCCGGUAAUGCAAGUGCGUACUGCUCAAGUGUGUGGUUGUGAGAUCAUCUCGAAAUCCUUUUAACAGUUCAGGAACAACGUGAUGUAAAUAUGAGACGGGCCCUCGUCCUUCGUGCACUUCCUGUGUACCUGCGUGAAGAUGCCUCCAAGUUUUUCAGGACCUGUAAUUCAGCAGAUGGUCCAGACCUCACUGACACUCCGGUGGCUCUCCUGACAGUUGUCACUGAUGAUACUACUGAUGCGGCCCUCUUCAGCCCUGAGAGCAUCUGUAUUGUCGUGGAAGAUGAAAUACUUGUGAGUGGUCCCACAAACCUGGCUGACUCAUUUCUCCUGCUCUUUGGGUAUGUCUAUGCACUAGACCUACAGUACCCAAAGAAUCUUGAGCUUACAUUCACAUUUAUCCAAAAAGUUGUGAUGUGUCUUGAGGACAACAAACCACUGAAAGGGCGUCUACUGACACUGAAGAAUGAUUUGUUCAAUGAGUGAAUCACUCAGAAUGGACUAUUUGUUGAGCUGAGUAUUGAGGAUG